GCCUACAUGAAGCUGGAGUUACUAGUAAUCGCAGAUCAGAAUGCUGCGGUGAAUGCGUUCCCGGGUCUUGUACACACCGCCCGUCACACCACGGAAGUUGGGGGGCGCCCGAAGCCACUUAGCUAACCCUUUUGGGAAGCGAGUGUCGAAGGUGAAAUCAAUAACUGGGGUGAAGUCGUAACAAGGUAUC
rnacentral:rRNA from 1 species